rfam:Cyanidioschyzon merolae chloroplast DNA, complete genome, strain: 10D.
AAGGCAUAGAUGAUAACAGGUCUUGACAAAAGAUUUGAGGAAAGUCCGGGCUUGACAAAGGGCUAUCUAGCUGGAGAAAUCCAGUGCCGUCCCUACGGUGAGGAAAGUGCCACAGAAAGAAACCGCCUAUUUAACAUAGGUAAGGGUGCAAAGGUGCGGUAAGAGCGUACCAAUUAAGAUGGUCACAUCUUAAUUUAGGCAAACCCCUAGCAACAAGCAAAGUGCUCCCUUCGUCUGCCCUUUGCAUGGGAGCUUAACUGCUAAAAGCUUUAUGCUUUAGAAGAAUCAUCAUCCUUGCCAAGAGCAAGAACUUAACCCGGCUUAUGACCUUUGAA